rnacentral:misc_RNA from 1 species
GAUGAAGAACGCAGCGAAAUGCGAUACGUAAUGUGAAUUGCAGAAUUCAGUGAAUCAUCGAGUCUUUGAACGCACAUUGCGCCCCCUGGUAUUCCGGGGGGCAUGCCUGUCCGAGCGUCAUUGCUGCCCUCAAGCACGGCUUGUGUGUUGGGCCUCCGUCCUCCUCCCGGGGGACGGGCCCGAAAGGCAGCGGCGGCACCGCGUCCGGUCCUCGAGCGUAUGGGGCUUCGUCACCCGCUCUUGUAGGCCCGGCCGGCGCUUGCCGACACAUCAAUCUUUUUUCCAGGUUGACCUCGGAUCAGGUAGGGAUACCCGCUGAACUUAAGCAUAUCAAUAAGCGGAGGG